AAUUGGAUUCAACGCCGGAAAUCUUACCGGGACCGACAGCAAUAUGAAGGCCAGGCUGAAGACUUUGCCGGAUUAGCUGAGAGGUGGUGCAUGGCCGUCGUCAGUUCGUACUGUGAAGCAUCCUGUUAAGUCAGGCAACGAGCGAGACCCACGCCCACAGUUGCCAGCGUACUCUCCGGAGUGACGGGUACACUGUGGGGACCGCCGCUGCUAAAGCGGAGGAAGGAAUGGGCAACGGUAGGUCAGUAUGCCCCGAAUAUCCCGGGCUACACGCGAGCUACAAUGGUUGGUACAAUGGGUAUCUACCCCGAAAGGGGACGGGAAUCUCCUAAAACCAAUCUUAGUUCGGAUUGAGGGCUGCAACUCGCCCUCAUGAAGCUGGAAUCCGUAGUAAUCGCGUUUCAACAGAACGCGGUGAAUACGUCCCUGCUCCUU
rnacentral:rRNA from 1 species